CACGUAGGGCGCGAGCGUUGUCCGGAAUUAUUGGGCGUAAAGAGCUCGUAGGCGGCCUGUUGCGUCCGCUGUGAAAGCCCGGGGCUUAACCCCGGGUCGGCAGUGGAUACGGGCAGGCUAGAGGUAGGUAGGGGAGAAUGGAAUUCCCGGUGUAGCGGUGAAAUGCGCAGAUAUCGGGAGGAACACCGGUGGCGAAGGCGGUUCUCUGGGCCUUACCUGACGCUGAGGAGCGAAAGCGUGGGGAGCAAACGGG
rnacentral:rRNA from 1 species